GACGAACGCUGGCGGCGUGCUUAACACAUGCAAGUCGAACGAUGAAGCCCAGCUUGCUGGGUGGAAGAGUGGCGAACGGGUGAGUAACACGUGAGCAACCUGCCCUUCACUCUGGGAUAAGCACUGGAAACGGUGUCUAAUACUGGAUAUGCACAAUGGCCGCAUGGUCUGUUGGGGGACAGAUUUAUCGGUGAAGGAUGGGCUCGCGGCCUAUCAGCUUGUUGGUGAGGUAGUGGCUCACCAAGGCGACGACGGGUAGCCGGCCUGAGAGGGUGGCCGGCCACACUGGGACUGAGACACGGCCCAGACUCCUACGGGAGGCAGCAGUGGGGAAUAUUGCACAAUGGGCGCAAGCCUGAUGCAGCAACGCCGCGUGAGGGAUGACGGCCUUCGGGUUGUAAACCUCUUUUAGUAGGGAAGAAGCGAAAGUGACGGUACCUGCAGAAAAAGCACCGGCUAACUACGUGCCAGCAGCCGCAGUAA
rnacentral:rRNA from 1 species